rnacentral:rRNA from 1 species
UACGGAGGGUGCGAGCGUUAAUCGGAAUUACUGGGCGUAAAGCGUGCGCAGGCGGCGCGUUAAGACAGGUGUGAAAGCCCCGAGCUUAACUUGGGAAUUGCGCUUGUGACUGGCGGGCUGGAGUGUGGCAGAGGGAGGUGGAAUUCCACGUGUAGCAGUGAAAUGCGUAGAGAUGUGGAGGAACACCGAUGGCGAAGGCAGCCUCCUGGGCCAGCACUGACGCUCAUGCACGAAAGCGUGGGGAGCAAACAGG